rnacentral:lncRNA from 1 species
AAGCAUUGAUAAGUCGGAUAUUGAGAAUGCUGCAGUUAUACAUUACAAUGGAAACAUGAAACCAUGGCUGGAGUUGGCAAUGACGAAGUACCGGUCUUACUGGACUAAGUACAUUAAAUAUGAUCAUCCCUACCUUCGCAGCUGCAACCUAAGUGAAUGAAUGGGAACACAAAAGAUCAGCAAAGGGACAGUGGGAUGCACCUUCUUUGCUCCAACCUAAGUGAAUGAUUGGGAAUACUGAGAAGCAGCAAAGGUACAGUGUUAUGCUCAGUGAGUGUGAUUCUUUCCCCAAUGAAAGGUCAGUUUGUUUUGAUUUAGUGCACAAGGGGGAGUGGUUUACCUUUUCUCUGUUGCCUUUCCCUUUCCUGUCCCCACAUUGCUAAUUCUUCUUUGUAAUUCAUUUUAAUUAGUUCCUCUAAACGAUGUGCUGCAUUGACCUGUAAGAACUCCCUU